CGCUUACACAUGCAGUCGAGCGGUAACAGGGGGUGCUUGCACCCCGCUGACGAGCGGCGGACGGGUGAGUAAUGCAUAGGAAUCUGCCCAGUAGUGGGGGAUAGCCCGGGGAAACCCGGAUUAAUACCGCAUACGCCCUUUGGGGGAAAGCAGGGGAUCUUCGGACCUUGCGCUAUUGGAUGAGCCUAUGUCGGAUUAGCUAGUUGGUGGGGUAAAGGCCUACCAAGGCGACGAUCCGUAGCUGGUCUGAGAGGAUGAUCAGCCACAUCGGGACUGAGACACGGCCCGAACUCCUACGGGAGGCAGCAGUGGGGAAUAUUGGACAAUGGGGGCAACCCUGAUCCAGCCAUGCCGCGUGUGUGAAGAAGGCUUUCGGGUUGUAAAGCACUUUCAGUGAGGAGGAAAACCUUCUGGUUAAUACCCAUGAGGCUUGACGUUACUCACAGAAGAAGCACCGGCUAACUCCGUGCCAGCAGCCGCGGUAAUACGGAGGGUGCAAGCGUUAAUCGGAAUUACUGGGCGUAAAGCGCGCGUAGGUGGUUUGAUAAGCGAGAUGUGAAAGCCCCGGGCUUAACCUGGGAACGGCAUUUCGAACUGUCAGGCUAGAGUG
rnacentral:rRNA from 1 species